rnacentral:tRNA from 1 species
GCGGCCGUGGUGGAAUGGCAGUCACGCGGCGCUUAGGCCGCCGUGGGAGAAAUCCCGUGUGGGUUCGAAUCCCACCGGCCGCA